AACGAACGCUGGCGGCAGGCCUAACACAUGCAAGUCGAGCGCCCUUUCGGAGGAGCGGCGGACGGGUGAGUAACGCGUGGGAAUAUGCCCUUCUCUACGGAAUAGCCUCGGGAAACUGAGAGUAAUACCGUAUACGCCCUGUGGUGGAAAGAUUUAUCGGGGAAGGAUUAGCCCGCGUUGGAUUAGGUAGUUGGUGGGGUAAUGGCCUACCAAGCCGACGAUCCAUAGCUGGUUUGAGAGGAUGAUCAGCCACACUGGGACUGAGACACGGCCCAGACUCCUACGGGAGGCAGCAGUGGGGAAUCUUAGACAAUGGGGGCAACCCUGAUCUAGCCAUGCCGCGUGAGUGAUGAAGGCCUUAGGGUUGUAAAGCUCUUUCAGCUGGGAAGAUAAUGACGGUACCAGCAGAAGAAGCCCCGGCUAACUCCGUG
rnacentral:rRNA from 1 species